AUCCGGGCCUCCGGGAGGCUCCCAAAGCUUUGGCCCUGAAGCGUGGCCAGGGAGCAUCCAGGGGACUGUCCUCGCGCCGCGGCUUUGGCCGCUCGCGGGGCGGGGCACCGCCGCGCAUGCGCUCCAGGAGCAUCGACUUCGUCCCAGACACCGGGAGGCCCCGCAGGCGCAGCUGCUGUCGGAGCUCUGAGACCUGAGGUCUCCUUCCACUCCGACCCUCACCUCGUUCCAUCAGCGAGUUGAGAAGGGAUGCAUUGGAGAAGAAGAACAAGUAGCCAAAUGUCUGAGACACAAGAUCCGGGUGCAGCUCGCACUGGCUGGUCAGUUCCAGGGCUGCCUGGAACACGCCCAGGGUAGGUCUCAACCCAGGAGGCAUGGCCCCCAGCUCAGCGCCAGGCCCCGGCAGCUCUGCCCCAGCUGUGAAAGGGUUACUAUCCAGGAGAGCAGGCAGCGUUGAAUACAGAGUCUGAGGAGAUACAGAGAUACAAACAAGUGAUCAGACUACAACUCCUUAGAAGCUUCAAAGUAGUAGAAUACAAAGGUACUGGGGAACUCCACCAAAGGCUUCUGGGAAUUGUAGUCCAUUUUGCCUUAAACACCCUAGAGAGCUCCAUGAGCAAAUUCCUAUUUUCCAGAAGAGUUUCUAGCAUUCACCAAGCCUUGGACACCUCAAGUCUUAAGAAGAGCUUUCCAGAAGUGUCUUAGGUGUUUUUUUGUUUUUGUUUUUUUUCUUUUUAGGGCUGCACCUGUAGCAUAUGGACGUCCCCAGGCUAGGGGUUGUGCCUACACCACAGCCACAGCAAUGCCAGAUCCGAGCCACAUCUGCAACCUACACUGCCAUUCACGGCAACGCCAGAUCUUAACCCACUGAGCAAGCCCAAGGAUCACACCUGCAUCCUAGUCAGGUUCGCAACCCGCUGAGCCACAAUGGAAACUGCUAUCUUGGGUAUUUUAAGACCACCUUUGGUGCCUUACAGGACUUGUAGUUCUCCACAGAGAUAGCUCAAGGAGGACAAAGGACGUUGAACAAAGAGGCUCCCUUCAAUCAAAGAAUUAUUUAUCCAAAAUUCCCCAAGGAACAGAAAAGAAUGGCGAGUCAGGAAGUGGGAGUGGGGUGGCAGUUAGCCAGUGGAAAAUGAGAUCAGGCCAAGGACAGGAAAUGAGGUCAGAGCCAAAGAAGAAAUAAAACCACACUUGGCAGGGAUGCACAGGAAGUGAAGCCUUAGAGGAAAGGCUUCACAAAUCAAGGCUGCUCAAAGAACAGAGAGACCAUCUACCCCAAAAGAUUCCCCUUUCAUUUUGCAGCUAGAGAAUCAGGCCCAUCAGAAGCCAGGAAUCCUGAGAGUUUCAAGACGCAGUAGUGGUCAAGAGUGGUAGCAGUGGACUGGGGCAGAAAGCAGGUCCUGUAGGAUGGGAAGUCCAGGGAGAAAAGGCUCAGAAAAGGGAAUGGAUUCAGAGCUACAGGAAGCAAGGUCAGCAAACCCAGGAAGUGAGACCUGAUUAAAGAGGUUUAGUUUACAUGACA